rnacentral:tRNA from 1 species
UCCGACUAUUUGAGAUUGUUCAAAACCUGACUCAUAAUCAGGGGGUCCAUGGUUCGAGCCCAUGUGGGACCA